UCAAUCUUUUUUUUACUAAAAGGAUUGAGCCGAGUUUAUCUAGUGUAUAUACUGUUUUUGAUAGAUACAUACUUAAUCUAGAUAUACAAAAUCUGAAAAAAAAAGAAGAUUAAACACAACUACACUUUUGUAUUGUAGUGUCCACAAGAAAUUCUAUACGAAAUAUGGAUUCUUAGGAUUUUUUUAUUCUUUUUUUAAGUUUCGUGUCAGGGCUUGAACCAAGUAUCCCCACUUCUUCUACCCAUUCUGCAUGUUGUCCUUUUCUUUUCAUUCCGUAUUGGAAUAAAAACCUUUUUUUAUAUUAGUAUACGAGAUUUUACUAAAAAAGUUCUUCAUAUCGUUAUAUUCAUAAGCGAAGAACAAAUAUUUCUUUUUUUAAUGAGAAUUUUACACAAUAUAAGAAAAUCCUUAUUUUCAUUUAGAAUUGAAAUUUAUUAAUUUCAAUUGCUUUUACUUAAUAAUCUUAGCAAUUAGCAAUUGCAUUGACAUGCUUUGCUUACUCUGAAUAGAAAAUGAACUAUUCAAAUUUUUUUUUGCAUUUUUUAAUUUUUUCAUUGAAUGACUAUUCAUCUAUUGUUAUUUUAUUUUCAUGUAAAUAGAGGCCAGAAGCUCUAUGGAAAAAUCGUGGUUCAAUUUGAUGUUUUCUAAGGGAGAAUUGGAAUACAGAGGCGAGCUAAGUAAAGCAAUGGAUAGUUUUGCUCCUAUUGAAAAGACUACUAUAAGUAAAGACCGGUUUAUAUAUGAUAUGGAUAAAAACUUUUAUGGUUGGGGUGAGCGUUCUAGUUAUUACAAUAAUGUUGAUCUUUUAGUUAACUCCAAGGACAUUCGGAAUUUCAUAUCGGAUGACACCUUUUUUGUUAGGGAUAGUAAUAAAAAUAGUUAUUCUAUAUAUUUUGAUAUAAAAAAGAAAAAAUUUGAGAUUAACAAUGAUUUGAGUGGCCUAGAAAUUUUUUUUUAUAGUUAUUGUAGUUCUAGUUAUCUGAAUAAUAGAUCUAAAGGUGACAACGAUCUGCACUAUGAUCCUUACAUUAAGGAUACUAAAUAUAAUUGUAAUAAUCACAUUAAUAGUUGUAUUGACUCUUAUUUUCGUUCUCACAUCUGUAUUAAUAGUCACUUUUUAAGCGAUAGUAAUAAUUCCAAUGAAAGUUACAUUUAUAAUUUCAUUUGUAGUGAAAGUGGAAGUGGAAAGAUUCGUGAAAGCAAAAAUGACAAGAUAAGAACUAAUAGUAAUCGUAAUAAUUUAAUGAGUUCUAAGGCUUUCGAUAUAACUAAAAACUACAAUCAAUUGUGGAUUCAAUGCGACAAUUGUUAUGGAUUAAUGUAUAAGAAAGUCGAAAUGAAUGUUUGUGAAGAAUGUGGACAUUAUUUGAAAAUGACCAGUUCAGAGAGAAUUGAGCUUUCGAUUGAUCCGGGUACUUGGAAUCCUAUGGAUGAAGACAUGGUCUCUGCGGAUCCCAUUAAAUUUCAUUCGAGGGAGGAACCUUAUAAAAAGCGUAUUGCCUCUGCUCAAAAAAGACAGGGUUGACUGACGCUAUUCAAACAGGUACAGGUCAAUUAAACGGUAUUCCGGUAGCUCUUGGGGUUAUGGAUUUUCAGUUUAUGGGGGGUAGUAUGGGAUCCGUAGUAGGCGAAAAAAUAACUCGUUUGAUCGAGUAUGCUACCAAUCAAUGUUUACCUCUUAUUUUAGUGUGUUCUUCCGGAGGAGCACGAAUGCAAGAAGGAAGUUUAAGUUUGAUGCAAAUGGCUAAAAUUUCUUCGGUUUUAUGUGAUUAUCAGUCAAGUAAAAAGUUAUUCUAUAUAUCAAUUCUUACAUCUCCUACUACCGGUGGGGUGACAGCAAGUUUUGGUAUGUUGGGGGAUAUCAUUAUUGCCGAACCCUAUGCCUAUAUUGCAUUUGCGGGUAAAAGAGUAAUUGAACAAACAUUGAAAAAAGCCGUGCCUGAAGGUUCACAAUUGGAUGCAAUUGUACCACGUAAUCCUUUAAAAGGUGUUGUGAGUGAGUUAUUUCAGCUCCAUGCUUUUUUUCCUUUGAACAAAAAUGAAAUCAAAUAAAACAGUUAGUUUAUCAUAAUUAAACGAAAACCCUGAAAAUUUUAUUUUUCUUUAGAAUCAUUUUUUUAUCGAUAUUCUUGUUUACUACUCAGUAAACCUUUAUCAACAAGAUAAAAAGUGAAUUUUUGCUUUCGGGAAGUUCAAAUUCGACUAGAAAAAUAAAACAAAGUUUUUUUCCUCUCUUGCUUGCAUAUGGAUGGAUAAUUCAAAUAGAGAUAUAGAUCUAUAGAGAGUCUUGCAUCGUUUUGCAUUUCCCGAAAAUUCCCUGUUGGUGGAUCAGAUUCCAAUCAAUUUUGUAUAAAAUUUUAAUGGAAUAAAAUUUUUUCUUUAUUAAUGACUAUUAGAAGACAAAAAGAACAAAAAGAAUAAUAAAUCUAACAGGGAGAUUAUGAUAAUACAUCUAUUUUAUUUUGAAAGAUUAAUAAGUCCAUUUAUUUAGUUUGGCGUUUCUUGUACCUAUUUUUUAUUCCGACGACAUACCGACGAUUUUUUCCCUCAGUAUGCCGAUGUUUUCUUGUAGUGACUAAUUGACUUUUUGUUUAAAAGGUUAUAUAUUACCACUAAAAAUGUGCUAUUUGAAAUAACUACCUAAAUUAUGAAAAGUUGUGAUUAUUCAUAUUUUUUUUUAUGAAAAGACACAUCUUUAUAUGAAAAGACACUUUUAUAGAUAUAUAUAUUUACAAUCUAUAAUAACUAAUGCAAUGUUCAAGAUGAAAAAUCGCAUCAUUUCACAUUUAUUAAAAUUUUAAUUAAUUUUGAAAGGUUGUGUUUUUUUCAACAUGUAGUUAUUGAAAAAAAUUGUGAAAAAACUUAAAUGUGUCUUUUCGUUAUAAAAAUGUAAAUUUACAUCCAAAAGAUAAAUUUUAGAUUCUAUUUGUUAUGUUUUGUGUGUUUUAUUCUUUAAACAUUGUAUUUAUUUUUUUUAAAUUGUUAAAAUAUAGAAAGAGGUGUCUUAUGAUAGCAAACCUUUUUUUUCUAACUGCUGACGUCACCUUUUUAAUAGGAAAAAAAAUCAUAUCCAAUGGUGGUAAUUUUCCAGCAUAUAUAAUGUAAUGUAUAAAAUUUUGUUUAAGAUGUGUCACAGCUCCUCAAAGGCGUCGCUUAGACAAGUUGUAGAACCGUCUUCAUCUCCAACUCCAAGGGUCGUCUCUUUUCACAAACUUAUUUAUAGAAUAGACCGUACAGGUUUGCAGUUUUUUGGAGUUCAUUCAUCACGUCCUCUCACCCGUUUUCUAUCGCUCCGGUUUCCUUUAACAUCCAAUUCUCAGAACAAAUUCGGACAUAAUUGUUUAUAAACCAUUUGUUUGUUUUAAUAUAUCCCUAAUUUGAAAAGAUUUGUUUUCUACAUGCUCGUCGUAUGUCUGACUAAUUUAUGCCUCUUUAAUUUUGUUAAUCGUCCUCUUUUUUAAGUAUACGUAUUUGUUUCUGCAGUUUUUAUUUUCAGGGCUUGUCGCUAUUUGAAUGUCUUUGUGAUCAGAUCUCUUUUUGAAUGGUUAGCAGUGUGUGGAAAGAGAUGGAGUGUAUUGCGUCUUAUUAUUUGGCCAACGAACGAACCCCUUGUAACUUUCUUUUUCUCUCUUUCCUUUCUGAUUUAGGUUCUUUCUCCCAGUUUUUGUAUUGCAGUUUACUCGAUUUUCAUUGUUUUAUGAAUGAUUUGGUUCGUGACAUUUUGGAAAACUGAUAUGAUAAUUGCGAAUAACUUAAGUAUAUAUUCUCCUUAUUCAGUAAAAUAAUUCUCAUGUGCAACACUUGUCUGUGCAUGAGUUUAAGUGGGGAAGCUUGUACUUGAAGAACAUGUGGAAAGUGAGCCAAGUUUCGAUGAUAAUUCAAUAUUUACAAGGUUUCAAAAUCAUCGUUGCAAUAUUUACAAGGUUUCAAAUAAAUAAAUAAAUAAAUUGUGACGCUAACCUACUUACUGUGUAACUAUAUCAUCAUUAUAACAACAACAGGAAAGAGGAUGAACGUGACAGAAUCUCAAAAACCAUAGCAAAAAGAAAAUGAAGGCUUGUUGUACUUAUGUAUUUAAUGCUUAUAUCUGCUUUUGGGAUUUGAGUGUUUAGAAGAUGGAUUUAAUUAUCUUGCCAUUUGUCCCUCUACAAGAUAAGACUACCAAAAAAGAUAUGAAGAAACCAACGAUGUGUCCGUAAAUAUAUUUGUGUUGUUACCAAAUAAAUUAAAUAAUCUGGUUGUUACUUUUAGAUUCAGCGGUGCUUGAAACUUGUCAUGAAAGGUUACCCUCGCGUAGUAUGUGAAGAUUGGCAGCAAGAGGAAGGAUAACUCUUUCUUUUACCGUGCGGAGGGUUUUAGGAACCUAACACAAGUUUAAAAAAAUUAUAUUAAAACUUAUUUUUAAUACAAUCUAUCAUCUUCACCAAAUACAAGAGUGUAAAAUUAUAAAAGAAAUAAGUUUAUUAAGUAAAUAUGAUAUAAUUCUAUCAUAUAGAAAAAGUAAAGUUGAAUCUAAAAGGUUAACAAGUCGAACUCUAGUGGAAAGUAUUAUUUAAUUUGGGACCUAAAAAAAAAUAAUAUUAAUCGGAGGAUUGAGGCGAAUAUCUUUUUUGAUGCACUGUAGGCACAGCUUUAUUUCUUUAAUAUAUACACGAUUUUCUCCGGUAUCCGGGCUAGAAUUCUUUGUGAAAAUCAGAAUAUUUGUUGUUUAUUAUCAUUUUUGUUGGUCGUACCUGAUUCAAAGAAGUUAAUAUAUGAGGAAUUCACACACAAUAAAAAGCUGAAAUGGUAAGACUAUGGCUAUUUAUGGAUAUAAUAUCAACUUUUAGAUUGUAUAAACUUGAUCAUUUAACUUUAGUUCUAAUUCGGUUGAUAUGACAAUCAGUAAAACAAAUAAAUAUUGUCACUAAUAAAGUAUUCCAAAAAUAUUUUCAGUAAAACUAUAUAUGAUAUAUGCAAUUAUGUAUCUUAUUCAUUUAGAAUAUUUUUUAUUGAAAUGGUUUGUGGUUCUUUCUCAUUUUACUUAUAUUAUACAUUUUUAAAAUUCAUGAAAAAAAUAAAAGAUCUGUAUUUUUCUCCUUAUUUUAUUAUACUUUGAUAGCAAAAUAAGAUGAUUUCUAUAAAAGUAUAGAUUAUACAAAGUGGCAUAUGUUUUUAAUAAAAUUAGUUCACUAUAAUAACUUAAAAAUGCAUAGAUACUUUAAUGUGUGUGCCUUUACUAAUUGGUACUGACAUAUUUUUAAUUUUAUUACAACUAACUAAUAAAAAAUAUAACUGCAUGUAAGUAGUAAGUUAUUUGUAACACAUGUAUUUCUUCAAAACAAUUAUAUAAAAUGUGGUAUAUUCAUUUUUUACAAAAUGAGUUUCGUGCGAUAUCGCACGGGUUUCUUACCUAGUAAUAAUAAGAUGAAACACAUUAAAAAAUUUCUUAAAAAAAGUUAUGAUGGAUUACAUAGUUCAAACAAACAAAAAUGAAAACAAUUAAGGCUCCGAAUGGUGACUGCGGUUUGAGCGGUGCGGGACAAGCGGUUUAACUGCGGUGCAGUUUUAACAGUUAUAAAAAUGUAUAAAUAUAUAGUAUAUGUAGAGAUUUUUGUUACUGUUAACUGCGGGGCGGGGCGGGAUGAUGGUUAACAUUCGAAGCCUAAAUCAAUCUACUCUGAAUUUGAGAAAUAAUCAGAAGGACAAGAUUCUGAUUUGUUGUCAUACCAUCCAAUCUCGGCUUCUGAUUCUGAGUGCACAACAUCACCUAGUCCAAAUCCGGUUAAGUCGACAACGAGUUUAACGGCUGCUAAAUAAUCAGUUGGACUUAUGUGGCUGCUAGAGUUUGGCUGCAAUGGAUUAGAAACUCUUUGUACUUGGCCUCUUGGAUAGCUUCAUGUGACAACUAUCAAGGAUCAUUUCUUUUCCUAAUGUGUGGAUAAAAGGCAGAGUUGUUGUACCAAUCAAGGAUCACUUCAUGCUCAACAGUAUUGUCGUACCAAUCACAAUAAAGGACAGUGCGCCUCAUGCCAAUCAUUUCCGGAAACUGAAUUUCUAAAAUUUAGCGAAGAUUGCCUUAUAGUACACAUCGUAGUCAGAUGACGAUGAAAUACCAGAAUCAUUAGUUGUCCUCAAACAGUCUUCCUUUUGAACUGUGAAUGCAUAACCUCAAGUACAAUAUCUCGGACAUGACUUCACUACAUAAUUUGGGCCACAAAUAAACUCACAAAUUUCCAAGGAACAUAUUUUCGUCGGGUUUUACCGACGAAAUCCCCAAUUCUUUACGGGUUUGCAUUUCCGACGGAUAAAGAAUUCCCAACGAAAUUUUUUCCCUCUGAAUUUUGUCAGGAUAUAUCAUGUUUUCGUGUAGUGUGUGUGAGAGACAUAUUUUAUAAAUAAGGAUUCAUUUUUCCCACAUUAGUUCGGAUUAAUAUUUAUAUUUUAGUAAUCAUAGUGUCUAUGUGAGUUAUUAUUUAACUUGUACCAAGGUGUAGAAAGAAUAUUCAGAUCCGAAGAUCUAAACCGAAUAUAAUCUGAAAAAAUAAAAAUGAGAAUGAAAUACAAAAAAUUUGAAAAUUUUAUCUAUCCAAACGAAUCAAUAACAACUAUACAUUUUCUUAUGCUCUUCAUUUAACGUUUGAAUUAGCUUGAUAUGUUAAUUUUCUUGUCCUAUUGUAAUGUUUCUAUGGUCUUUGAUGUUUGUCUAGUCAUUAUAGAACUUGUUAGGAUCUUGGAAAUUUUUUGUGUAUUUGUUAUAAUCUACAUACUUUGGUUUGAAUGGUCGUCUAUGCAUAUAUUUUAUAUAUUAUUUAAGAAACAUGAUAAAUUGUGAGCUAUGUCAUGUGUCAUCACGAUAAUGAUUCUUAGAAUUUUUAGAAAAAUAUGUUUAUCGAUCUAAAAUAUUAAAAUUAUACAAAAAAAUAUUAAACCAUAAUUUUAGUUUAGGCCACAGUAAUCUAUGAUAUAAUAUAGAUUCUUAAUUAAUUUUUGUUGAUAAACCCUAAACCAAUCUACAUCCGCUCAUCUAUGUUGAAAAUAAUUCAAUUUCAUAUGAACUAAAUUUACAUCAUUGAAAAAUAUUUAUUAUUACAUGAUUUCAAAUUUUAACCCAUGAAAAUAUUUUUUAUAAAAAUUGUAAAUUAUUUUUAAGAUCUAAUCCAUGAGAAGAAUUUCUCUGGAAGACUUAUAGAAGACUCCUGAGAGACUUAUGGAAGACUCCUAGAAGACUUAUGGAAGAUUCUUGGAAGACUUAUGAAAGACUUUGAUUUAAGCAGGAAACCUAAAUUAUUCCAAAAUUUAGGCGGAAAACCUAAAUUAUUCCAAAAUUUAGGCGGAAACCAUAAAUUCUACUAAAAUUUAGGCGAGAUGUGUUUGAAGACUUCUUUUAAAAUCUUUUGUGAGUCUUCCAGACCCUAAAACCAAUCAACUAUGCAAAAAAUACUUUCUUAAACUUAAAAAAAACUUAGAAAAUGUUUAAAUCAAGUUAUUAGAUAGUUACUAAACAUAUAUGGGUCAAUUUGAAAAAGAAAAAAAAAUGAAGGUAAGAUUUCAGAAUCUAACCCUAAAGAUACAUACAAUGCUAUAAUAUAUGUUACCAAACCCUAAACCAAUAACUCAUGAGCCAAUAUAUAUUCACUCAUCUAUGUUGAAAAUAAUUCAAUUUCAGAUGAAUUAAAUUUACAUCAUUGAGAAAUGUUUAUUAUUACAUGAUUUCAAUUUUGUACCCAUCAAAAUAUUUUUUUAUAAAACAAUAAAAUUAUUUUUAAGAUCUACUAAAUGAGAAGACUUACAAAAAAAUCAUCUUAGAGAAGACUUACAAAGAAGUCAUCUUAGAAAAGACUUACAAAGAAGUUUUCUCUAACGCAAGGUUAUAAUGGUAAAAUUGAAUACAUGGUUUUUGUUUGUUCAUAAGGGAGCUGAUGUAAUUUCACUAAGUUUUUGGGUUAGUUUUGCAUUUGAUUGAAUUUGUGAUACAUUUUUGUAUUCAAAUCAAGUUUUGAGUAUUUUUUGCAAAUCCCCAAAAUAAUAAUCACCAGCAACAACAAAAAAAAGAAAUUGUGAUUUGGGCUGGAUCGUUUUAAAAAUUGUGAUUUGGGCUAUAAUUAAAUAUGAUUAAUAAAAAGCCUAUUAAGCUUCCGUUACUUUUUUUUCUUGAGGAAGAAACCAAACAGAUUCAUGUUAACCAAGUAAAAACAAACUUUUUAUUUUUUUUUGUAAAUAAAAAGCUAAAGAUCCAAGCUAUCUCGAAACAUAGCUAAAGAUCCAAGCUAUCUCUCUAUUUCUCUCCGCCAUCGUUAAGCAUAGAGACUGACAUCUUAUGUUUCCCACUAAAAACUGAGAAGAUGUUUGCAGAUCGUUAACGAAUAACGCUAGUAUAUAAAGGUUUGGACCUUGUGUUUUUUUUUACAAUCAAUUUCAGUUUUCGAUAAUCUUUAGUUUUUGUAUUCUUAUAUAUUGAUAGCUGUCGAUCUAAAUCCUAUAGAAUCAAUCAGCGGGAGCACGGGUCAAGCUCAGAAAUUUCUUGUAAUAGACUUGUAGAAGUAACUAUAAAAUGAGAAAAUGAGUUACAGUUCUGAGUAAUUGGGCUUUAAUGAGUUUUAAACGAAUUUAUAUAUUUGUUAUAAGAAGACAAUAGCAUUGGCAUGUUGACAUUGGGCAUAUGAGCUAUUUUUAUAAGACAAGAGGAGUGAGCAGGUGGAGAUGUUGUUGCCGCCUUUGUGUUUGUCGGCAUUUUCUCUUGUAUCUCAUGUUGUGGUUGUGUUUGUUUAUUCUUUAUUUGAUGGGUAAUAUGUAAACAAAAAUUAUUGUUAGUUGUAUUUAUGAGAGUUCAUAACUUACUCUGCUUUUUUUGUUUAGGUAAUUUCACUGAUUUUGGUUGUCGUCUUCGUCUUCUUCGUUGCGAAAGUAAGUUUGUAAAUUGUUAAAUAGCUGGCCGUGUAGUUUGUAUUUGUUUAGUUGACUUGAUGUAUGUGUCAUUGAGUUUUAGUUGGGGUGAUUGGUUUGGUAUAUUUGUUUUGAAGUUUAUUUCUAAGAUUAGACAAAAAAUAAAUGUGAUCAUUAAUGAUUCGUCUUUUUUGAAAUUCUAGUUUUUUGGUGUUUUGAUUGUUUGGGUUGUUGUGGUUUCUUUUAAGCAGUAAAAUAAAGGUUUUUGUAAAAUUAGUUUGAUAAGUAAGGGAGAUAAAUAGACGACCACGAAAUUUGGGUAGAAAAUAUUUUUGAUUAUUGAUGUUAGUACAAUAUAGAUAAUAAUAUAAAGGGAAUUGUGUGUUGAUUGUUUCUUACGGUUCAAUGAGGAGACGAAUAACGACUCGAGUUGUUUCUUUGCUAAGGUCAGAGCCUUGGACAGAACAGAUUUGUCCAACCACAUCUGCGAGUUUAAAUAUCAGUUAUGAUAACAAAACAUAUUAUAAACCCAUAUGCAAUAUGAUAAUAUACUUGGGAGUUCUAGGUUUGUGUUCGCAAUCACUUGAAAAUUAUCAAACAGUCUAAUUAUGAUUGGAGAUUGAUCUCAUGAGCACCCGUGACGACUUCAUCAAUACUAGUUGGUGAGAUAAAACGAAUGAGGAAUGGAUGAUCAAUUAUCUUGUACAUGCUUGAGCACCUAGCAACUUCAAAACGAUCGACUUUCACAAUAGAACCGGCUUUCAAAGAUGGCAUGUAAUGAUUAGCACGUCCGACGGGAAUAAACCCAUGAAUCACGGAAUCUGCAAAAAAUAUUAUUUAACAAAGAAUCAGGAAAUUAAUUAAAAACAAUUAUAUUAAAUAAGCGUGAUACAUCGAAGAUUAACUUACCUUUUCAUCAAGGAAUAGAACCGUGAUUCCCAUAAACUCACUGUCUUUCUUGAAGUUCAGGGAAUCCCAUAAGCGAGGAGGUUAGAGGCUAUGCUCUGACUACUACGACCAACACAGAGAGACUCGAAGGUUGAGUGACGGAUGCCGGGAACGCCGGUUUGAGGAACUGGAGAGGCAGAGAGACAUUUUCUAGAAGAUCGUUAAAGCUAAGAGGAAUCAAUGAGUUUUGUGCAGAUGCAGAUUGGGUUCAUCAAAGAUGAGAAUCAUAUAUAUAGGGUUUACAGAAGGCUACAAAUCGGAACAUUUAAGAUCAAGCGAUUUAAGAUGGGGGGAUGAAGAGUUCACCGGUGAAAAAUAGAUUACGAACAGACACACGGCGCAACUCUGUAACUCAGACUUGUCUGAGACAAUGAUGAAAAGAACUCUAACUCGUGUUAAAGGAAGACAAUUUACAAUAUGAAAAACUAUAAUUGUUGUUUUUUUUCAUAAAAUGUGAUGAACCUCAUUUAAAAAUGAAACUCAUAAUACACUUGUAGGCCCGACCCACAGAGAAAACCGAAGAAGCAAAAGUUUCCGACCUUCGUAAAUAUAUAUUAGUUUCGGCCAUCAAAGUUCAAAGUAUCAUUUAGUUUAGUUGUAUAAAUAUUGGUGUUUAUAUUUCAAUAACCCGAGUUCGAACUAUAAGCUUGUCACUUUUUUAACACUUUUUAAAAGUGAGAUCCACCAAAAUACCGACGUGUCACCUCAGGAAAAAAGAAAUAUACUAUUAUAUUAUAGAUUUUGAUUAGUUUAUUCUAAAAAUUAAAAAAAAUAUUAAUUCAGUGGUAUGUGAUUGUAAUUAUUGUGAAAAAUUUAGAGUUAAGUAAAAAAUGUAUUUCAAUUUUAAUAAUUUAGAUGUUAUAAAAGAAUUCAUUGGUUGUUAUCUGUUCCAAAAUAAUGUAUUAACAAACAAAGCAUGUAUCAUUUAAUAAUAACUAUUGUGUAACAUGUGGAAACACCGUAACCUACUGGUUAAGGUUUAAAGGCUUCUACACCUAGGUAUGGGGUUCGAACCCCAGACUAUGCAAUUUAUUGCAGAUUAUUAAACAAUUAUGCAGACUACAGAUGAAAGACUUGCAAGGGAUCUUCAACAUGGUGCAAGUAAAUCUCGCCAGGCGUGGAUCUACAUAGGACAGCUCAGGUGAUGCAGUUAGAUGUAGGUCUUCAUAUAAAAUACUAGAAUCCACUAAAACGUAAAUAUUUAUCUGCUAAUAUAUUAAUAAAAUUUUUACUAUUUUAAAAAUGAAAAGUUUUGAACAAAGAAAUUUAAAAAGAAAAAUUAUAGGGCAAUUCUCUCAAAUAGUACUUUUAAAGUUUUUGUCACUAAAAUAGCCAUUAAGAAAGAAAAUGACCAAUAUUCCUUUUUUGUUUUGAAAAUUUUAAUUUUAGUUUUUAAUUUUUUAAUUUGAAACUUUAUUUCCAAAACUCUACCCCUUAACUCUAGUAAGUCUAGAUUAAUUAACCCAAAGGUAAAAAUACAUUUUUAUUUUUUAAUAAAAUUUAUUUUGGUCAUUUUCUUCAUUGAAGACUAUUUUUGUGACAAAAAUUUUAAAAUAAUUAUCAUAGUAAAUUUUAAAGUUAAAAAAGAAGAAGAUAAACUCUCUAAAAUAAGAAAAAAGGAUAAAAAAAAGAAGGAAAAUUAUACAACUGACUACUGUAAUCUAUAAAUAACGUUAACCCUAUAACAUUAGUUAUCAUCAAAGAAGUACACAAUAGAGGAAAGAAAACUGCACAAUGAAUCCCUCUAGCUUCCGAUCCAAAUCAACCAUUGAUGUCGAUGAAGCCAUUAAGAACCAAAAUGACAUAGCGAUGGUCGUUUCGAAGGACCUCUUCUCUAGCAAAGCCAAACAUUCUAACUCCGUUUUUUCACCAGCGUCGAUAAACAACGCGCUCAAUUUGGCGGCCUCUGGUCCCAGUGAGAUUCUCAUCGACGGUUCUUCAUUCUCCAGUGAGAUCCUCUCCUUCCUGAGGGCUUCUUCAACUGAUGAUAGAUUUUGUAGGCGGUUAUGGGGGUUUAUGUAGGGAGCCUCCAGAGAUGAUAGAUUUUGUUGCAGAUCAUCCAUUUUUGUUCUUAAUUAGAGAAGACGCAAUUGGAACUGUUUUGUUUGCUGGUCAGAUCAUGGACCCUUCCGACAAAUCUUCUUAGGCUAUGGGGGGUGGGGGCAAGGGUCCAAGCGGGAUUUCGGUUUGGUUAUAUGGCAAAAAAGUGUGACCGAAUUAGUUGAAUUUUGUUUGACCUUUUUAUUCAUGAAUGUAUUUUUAAAUUAAUUGAUUCAUAUUUAUAUGUGUUUUUUUUUUCGACGAACUUAAAUUUUAUUAAUAUGAAAGCAUAAUAUCUGAAUACAAAGUUGGAGUUAACCACUUAGGUGGAUAAACUUUACAAUUUUCAAAAAUAAAAUUUGCUGGACCAUGGCGAACAAUUUCAUGCGCGGCUUGAUUUCCAUUACGUUUGACAAAAGUAAAUGUUGUUGUAGAAAGCUUAUUCUUCAAGCUAUUAAUUUCUUCAAGAAGAUUCUGAAUGGUUGAAUUUGUUAGAUGAUCAUUGAUCGUUGUAACCAAGAUUUCUGAGUCCCCUUCGAAAAUCAUAUCACUAUAUCCUCCUAUCCAAGCAUUCUGCAUUGCCACAAGUAAAGCCAUUGUCUCUGCAACUAAACUGGAAUUAGCGAACCCCAAAUUAGCCGAACCCCACAUAUAAGGAUGACCAUAACAGUUCCGGAUAAUCCAUGCACCUCGAACUUGGUUCGAAUUUAAAUCAUAUGCAGCAUCGUAAUUACAUUUUAGAAAACCCUGAUCUGGACGUUUCCAUGACGAUAAGGCAUGCAAAGAAGAACCUGCACUUGUAUUGCUUACUGUAGGAGAUGAUGAACAUAAAUGAGAUAUCCAUUCUCUUACGUCAGCGCAAGCAUUGUCCACUGUGACAUUUGGUUGCAGUAUUUGUUUCCUAAAGAGAAGAAAAUUCCUCUUUUUUCAUAUACGCCAUAGUAACCAAAAAGGUAAUAACCAUUGAUAAAGGGAAAGAGAUUGUACGCCUUGAAUAUUCAGCAGAAACCCUAUUUUAUUGUCCAUAGAAUCAUUUGUUAAUAAUGGACCCAUAAAAGGUAGAUUUGAAAGUCUCCAAAUACAUAUUGAAUCGGGGCACGUGAAAAAAAAAAUGGUCGAUUGUCUCUUCUGCCAAUCCACAUCUCUGGCAGAUAGGAUCUAAAUUCAUUCCUCUUGAAUUUAGUCUUGUAGUUGUUCCAAUAGCCUUUGAUAGAAUACGCCAAAGAAAAUGGUUAAGUUUAGGCAUUAUAUUUAAUUUCCAAACCUUAUCCUUUAGAAUAGGAUCACCAUAAGGAAUUGGAGGGGCUUCAAUCAAAUAAUCUGGUGCAUGCCUAGCAACCUUAUACCCAGAAGACACCGUAUAGUUUCCAUCUCGUGUAUGACUCCAAAUCAACUUAUCUUCUUUUUCUGUUUGGCUUAAAUAUAUCUGGCUUACGAGACGUUGGUCCUCAUCGCAUAAAUAAGACUGUAGUGCCACCGGAUUCCAAUGUUUGUACGGUGAAGUUGUGAUCAGAUCACUAACGAAUAAAUCACAAUUCAUUGUUGUAGAAGCAGGCCGAGGUGGAAUAACAGGUAACCAGUUAUCUUGAAAAACUCGUAUAUCUUUGCCAUUUCCCACAAUGUAGCUACAUCCUUUCUUUAAAACAUCAAUACCAGCAAGCAAAGAUUUCCAUCCAUAUGACUGCUUACGACAUGUUUUCCCUUCUAGAAGUUGUUUUCCUUUAAGAUAUCGGGCUUUAUAAAGUUUGGAAAAAAGACAGUUUGGUUUUGAGUAGAUUCGCCAUGCUUGUUUGGCAAGCAAAGCGUCAUUAAACUUGGGUAAAUCUUUGAAUCCAAGCCCUCCUUCUUUCUUCGUAUACUGUAAUUUUUUCCAAGCCACCCAUGGUAGACCUUUAAGAUCAUUUUUACCCCACCAUAAUCUCAUUAAAAUGGCAUCUAUCUCUUGUGUUGUUGCAACCGAUUUGAUCAUAACUUCUUUACCAGCUGGUGAAAGAAAUUUAGUACUCCAAUGAGACGUUCUCUGUUUAACACGUUGAACAACUGUACUAAACCUUUCUUUUUUUUUCCAUCCAAACUGUUCUGGUAGACCCAAAUACUUCCCACCACCACCAUGAUUUGAGAUUCCAAGGAUGUGUUUCAAGGAGUCUUGUUUAGAACCAUGAACCUUAGAACCAAAAGUUAUUACUGAUUUGUCUUGAUUUAUUUUUUGACCGGAGCAAUUUUCAUAGAUAUCAAACACUUCUUUUAGAGCUUUGCAAUUUUUUUGAUUAGCAAUGCAGAAAAAGAGAGAGUCAUCCACAAAAAAUAGAUGAGUAAUAGAUGGAGUCCCUUGUCCGAUUUUAAUACCAUUUAUUUUCUUACGCCAAACUUGAACAUCAAUUAGAUGACUCAAAAUAUCAGCACAGAGAAUAUAUAGAUAUAGAGAUAAUGGAUCUCCUUGACGUAACCCCCGCUGUGGAAUGAUAUGUCCCUGAGGAACACCAUUAAUAAGCACUGAAUAUUCAACUGUACUGACCAGAGCCAUUACCCAAGAUAUCCAUUUUUCUGCAAAGCCAAAUGCUCGUAAGGUACUUUCGAGAAAAUUCCAAUCAACACGAUCAUAAGCUUUAGUGAUGUCUGUCUUAACAGCCAUAUAUGUCUGGGACACUCGUUUCCUUGAUUUAAGAGAAUGCAUAAGCUCAUGGGCAAUCAUAACAUUAUCAUUGAUUAAUCGACCUGGAAUAAAAGCUGCUUGUGAAUCCGAGACAAUUUUGUCGAGGGAAAAUUUAUAUGUGUUUGUUUAUUCGUAAAUUUUCAUCAAUAGAAUGAUAUAAUUAGUUUCUUUUUAAUUUAUAAAUGGCAGUUUACUUGUAUGUGCCUAGUUCAAAUUAUACAUUUAAAACUAUAUAUAAAUAUUAGAAAAUUGUUUAUAAAAAAAUUCUAACAAGGUUUUGUCAAGUUUUUUAAUACUCAAACUUUUUCGUUAACCAGUUCAAUUUUGUCUGAUUUUCGGCGGAGAUUUUAUCUUCCAAGCAAAGGUUUGGAGUUUUUUUUACACUCAGCAAAGGUUUGGAGUUAUUUUUACACUCUGUUUGUGCAUCCAUCGUUUCGUUGUUAAGCAAGUUUGUUCCUGUCCAGUAGCAUGAUUUAACCGUGUACAUACCGCUCUUUUAUAGCUUCAGCAAUAUUCAUCUCGAUGGUAUCAUGGCCAAUGAUUGAGAUAUCUUUCGGACUGACAUAGUUUUCUAGGAUUUCAGUGUUCCAUCUUUUUGGACUUCCUAUUAAUAGUUCACUUACUGGCAUCAUUGUGUGAACCACCAUUGCAAUGUGCCUAGCCGGUCUCGCCGGUAACAUCUUCCCAAAUCCUGAUUUCAUUCUCAAAAUUUACUUUUUGUCUAAUUUCCAACGAUAUUAAUGGCUUCGCCACCAUUGUACUCGUCCACCCAUAUGAGGAAUUAUGAGCCUUGUUUAGAGGCAAAGGCGAACUACAUAUGAAGUAUUUUCCCUGCAAAACUUUCGCUAAUAGGGAAUCAAGAAACUGCACUAAUCGCCUCGACUGUUUGCCUAAUAUAGCAAGAUUGAAUUCAAGGAUCAUCUUGAGUCCUAUCCCUUCCUCUCCUCUUGAUUUACAUAGAUUUUCUCAUUUUUCCAAUAUAUACCUCUUUCAGGUAGGUUCAAACUCUACCAGAAUUGUACAAUGGCGCUAGCUAAAUUCUAACAGGUUUCUAGUGAUAGCAGCAUAGGCCCUGUUCGUUUGUACAUCUGGAAGAUGCAUCCAGAUGAUCCAUCUAGAUGUUUUAUCCAGAUGUUCCAUCUGGGUGUUGUUCGUUUUUUCAUUUCGUCCAUGCAUCCAGAUGAAUCAUCUGAAUGCAACUAUGUUCGUUUGCUUUUCAUUUUUUAACUUCCAUUUGCAUCUAGGUGGACUUGUUAUUAAAAUGACUAAAAUAUAAUUUUUACGUUUCAGCCGAAAAAUAGAAUUUUUACGGUUUUGGCGGAAAUUAUAUUUUGCGGUUUUUGAGGAAAAAUGUGUUUUUAGCGAAAAAGUGUAGUUUUGUGGUUUUGCCGGGAAAUACGUUUUUAUGGGUUUGGCGGAAAAAUACUUUUUUGCGGUUUUGACGGGAAAAGUGUGUUUUGCGGUUUUGGCAGGAAAAGUGUUUUUGACGGGAAAUGUUCUUUUCACGAUUUUGGUGGGAAAAGUUUUUUUCGCGAUUUUGGCGGAAAAAGUUUUUGUUUUCGCGAUUUUGGCGGGAGAAACAUUUUUGCGGUUUCGGCAGGAAAAUACAUGUUUUCCGGUUUUCGUGGGAAAAUACAUUUUUCUGAUUUUGGCGGGAACAUGCGUUUUUUCGUUUUUGGCGAAAAAAUUUGUUUUCCAGUUUUGGCGGGAAAAUGCAUUUUCCGGUUUUGGUGGGAAAGUUGUGUUUUCCGGUUUUGGCGGAAAAAUUGUGUUUUCCGGUUUUGGUGAGAAAAUUGUAUUUUCUGUUUUUGGCGGGAAAAUUGGGCUUUUCCGGUUUUGGCGAGAAAAUGAUUUUUGCGUUUUUGGCCGGAAAAUGCUUUUUGGAGUUUUCGCGGGAAUAUGUGUUUUUGGGUUUUGGCGGGAAAAUGCGUUUUUUUUUGUUUUGACGGGAAAAUGUGUUUUCACGGUUUUUUUCGAAAAGUGUGGUUUUUAGGCCCUGUUCGUUUGUACAUCUGGAAGAUGCAUCCAGAUGGUCCAUCUAGAUGUCUUAUCGAGAUGCUCCAUCUGGAUGUUGUUUGUUUCUUUAUUUCGUCCAUGCAUCCAGAUCAAUCAUCUGAAUUCAACUAUGUUCGUUUGCUUUUCAUUUUUAACUUUCAUCUGCAUUCAUGUGGACUUGUUAAUAAAAUGACUAAACUAUAAUUUUUACGUUUCGGCGGAAAAAUAGCAUUUUUACGGUUCUGGCCAAAAAAAUUUUUGCGAUUUUUGAGGAAAUAUGUGUUUUUCGCGAAAAAUGCAUUUUUAUGGUUUUGGCGGAAAAUACGUUUAUGGGUUUGGCGGAAAAAUACGUUUUUGCGGUUUGGACGGAAAAAGUGUGUUUUGAAGUUUUGGCGGAAAAUGUUUUUUCUGCGAUUUUGGCGGGAAAAGUUUGUUUUCUCGAUUUGGGUGGAAAACAUUUUUUUUGGUUUUGGCGGGAAAAUACAUUUUCCGGUUUUUGCGGGAAAAUACAUUUUUCUGGUUUUAGCGAGAAAAUACAUUUUCUGGUUUUGGCGAGAAAAUGCGUUUUUCCGGUUUUGGCGGGAAAAUGCGUUAUUUUGGUUUUGGCGGGAAAAUACAGUUAUUUUGGUUUUGGCGGGAAAAUACAGUUUUUUCGGUUGUGGCAGGAAAAUACAGUUUUUCCGAUUUUGGCGGGAAAAUACAUUUUCCGGUUUUGGCGGGAAAAUGAGUUUUUCCGGUUUUGGCGGGAAAAUGCGUUUUUCUGGUUUUGACGAAUUUUCCGGUUUUGGCGGUAAAAUUGUGUUUUUCAGUUUUGGCAGGAAAAUGCGUUUUUCCGGUUUUAGCGAGAAAAUUCAGUUUUCCGGUUUUGGCGGAAAAUUUCAUUUUCCGGUUUUGGCGGGAAAAUUGUGUUUUUCGGUUUUGGCGAGAAAAUGCGUUUUUUGGUUUUGGCGAGAAAAUGCGUUGUUUCCGGUUUUGGCGAGAAAAUACUUUUUGCGGUUUUGGCCGGAAAAUGAUUUUUGGAGUUUUGACGGGAAUAUGCGUUUUUUGGGGUUUGGUCGAAAAGUAUGAUUUUACUGGUUUUGCCAAAAAAUGUGUUUUUAUGAAAAUGUGUGUUUAUGUUUUUUUUUGCGGAAAAUUGCAUCUUACGGUUUUGGCGGGAAAGUGUGUUUUUCCGUUUUUGCGAGAAAAUGCAUUUUUGGUUAUAAGUUAUGUACGUAGGUAAAACCAGAAGAAUAGACUUUAUCAGCAAUUCUUUUCCUCCCCUUGAAAGCCAUCAUCAUCUCCAACCAUUAACCCGAUUUUGCAAUCGCUCUUUCAAGAACGCGAAUAAUUUCCGUUUUGAGCCACUGAUGUCCUUUGUAAUACAAGAUAAGAUCUCUCCCCUUCAUUUGCAAUUCCCAUUGAAUUUUUUACAGCAUCUUUCACAUGUCCAGGUGUCUUCUUACCAAAGAGUAAUGAUGAUUUUUCGAAGUUAAUACACUGUCCUGAAAUUUUCCCAUAAGUCUUAAACGCUUUUAUGACCAUCGCAUUCACGGGGCUCCGUCUUAGAGAAAAACAGGCUAUCAUUAGCAAAGAGAAGGUGUGAUACUAGAGGGCUAGUUCGUGAGACGCACAUCCCCGUUAUCUUGCCUUGAUUUUCCGUAUGAUUUAGAAGGCUAAUAAGCACUUUUGUGCAUAGGAUAAAAAUGAAAGGAGACAAAUGAUCUCCGUGACGCAAUCCUCUUCAUGAGCCAUGUUCGUUUCUUAACAGCUGCGUUUAGCGGCUGCGGCAAGAAAAAGUACUGCGACGGUGACCAGAAUAAUAGAAUCUAAAGCUGAAGUAGAAGCUAAUGGAUGUCCGGAGACAGAAAAAACUAGACGCAAUGCCGCUAAAAAUUUCAGCGUCCCUUUUUACUGUAGUUACUUGCCGCUGCGACUGGAUAACAAGUUGUCGGUGCUUCAUCGGUGUUGUGUGAUGGCGUGAUAACAUGUUUAAUUUUUGGCUGCUGCCGCUGUGUCUUGCGGUUAAGAAACGAACAUGGCUAUGGUUGUAUUUCUUCUUGGUUGGCCAUUAAAAAGGACAUGGUAUUUCACUGACGUUACACACCGUAUUAUCUACUCAAUCCAUAAGUCUGAAAAACUCAUGUUUUCAUGACCGCACUGAUAAAUUCCUAUUCCAAAUGAUCAUAAGCUUUACUUAUGUCUGUCCUUAUUUCCAUUCUUCAAACUUUACUUAUGUCUGUCUUUAUUUCCAUUUUUCUAGGUUUUUCGUUGGAAUUUGUACGAAAUAAAACAUCUCAUGUGUUAUCAUUCCAUUAUCAGUUAUUUAAUCUUUGGCAUAAGAUUUUAGAUAUUAUUUCGUAGUUCACAUUAUAAAAACUGAUGGAUUGAAACUCGGAUAUUUCAUUCGAUUUCUCUUUUUUCGGGAUGAGAUAAAUAUUGACAUCAUUGAGCCAUGGAAAUCCUAUACCAUAUAAAGUAUACCAUGGAAAUCCGUUUGACAAAGAUGAAAAUGUUGUGUAAAACUAAGAAAAAUAAAGUCCGUACACAACUAAAGCAAAGUUAACCAAUUAAAAUACACAAGCUUUAUUUACUUUAAUAUGCUUUCGAAGUGGGUCAUUCUAUUUUAAAACAUUUACUUGCAGCUUAAGAAAUGUAAAUAAAAUAUAUUUUUUCUUUUGAGUUUGGAUAACUUUUACACUUUAAAGUUUAAAUUAUUAAAUGGAUAUUAGAAUUUAGGAUUGCAUAUCUGACAUUUAGUUUUAAAGGGGUUUAUGUCGUCAUGUGACAAAUUCAACAUUGUAUAAAAGUUAGACUAAGAUAUUAUAUUGUAUUUCAGGACUAGGAAUUGACAUAAAAAAAUAAUGAUUCCUUACUAGCACAAAUAAUUAAUGAUUGGAACUUAUUUAAAUAUUAGUAGAAAAAAUAUAUUUACAUUAAAACAUGUUAAAAGAAAAACCAUACUUACCCUACUGAUAAAUGAUAAAUAAAAACAAAAAUAAUGAAAUUUUAUCUUUUAGAUUCUCAGUUGUCAAUUACUUAUUUUUGUCGCAAAUUUUGCAUUACCUUUAGUUUUUCUUUUU
rnacentral:lncRNA from 1 species